rnacentral:lncRNA from 1 species
UCUCAUCUUGGCUUUUCUUUCUAGCUGUGGGAUAUAUCAUGAUCUGCUUCCAGACUUGCAGUGGGGAAGAAGAUGCUUUUUCCAAGGUUCUUCUCCAUUGAACUAAGCAGAGAAGUGAUUCACUUGCUAGCACCUGAUGACUUCUGGGAUUCUUGCAAUUCUUUUCAACAUGGAGCAUAAGAUAGCUUCUAAGAACUGCCUAGAUUUUGCUUUGUUAAGAAAUGUAUGAGCUAUUCUGAGUUUUGGACCACUACUUCAACAUCUAGCAUCAAGGAGAAUGGUUAGGAAGAGAAGACAUAUACAUUGGGUAAGAGAUGAUUAAAAUAACAUAUAUAAAGUACAAGUCUUAACUGAAAUGCUAACAGUGCUAAUGGGAAGGAAGAAGUGACACAUUGCAAAGGGUCAGUUAUAAAUAUCUGGAUGGGUAUGUACGCAAAAGAUCAUGGUGAUAUUAUGAGUUUUUAUUUGAUGGCUAAGAAGUGGAUAAUAUAACUUUGGAUCCAUAAAGGAAGAGGAAAUAUAGAAUGUUGCCAAUACUACAAUCUGGUGACUAAAUACAAUAAUGAGAAAUAGGUGUGAUUUGAUACAAACAGAAAACCUUCCUAUUAAACCUGGAUGAAGGACUUGGAUUCUCUUACGUAUAAAGGAAGAGAAGGGGAUGGAAAUUUUUUGCUUAAAGUAGAAAAUUUUCAUUGCAGGAUGCCAUAGGUGGGCCAAUUUAACACAGUUGUUUAGGACAUAGUGUGGAUGAGGAUAAGGUGGUCAGUCAGUUCCAGCACAACAGGCUGCACUCCUUAUGUUACAAAUGAGUGCAUCCAUUAGUCACCAAGAGGACCAGGGAACAGAUGUUCUUGUCUGAUUGUAAAAAUGUCACUAUUACUGGGGAAACAUUAAGUGUAAGUUCUGUUUACUAUAUGUUUGUUCUCAGAAUGUCAGGAAGAGAAUGACCUCUUCUAGUAAAAAAUGAUCAAUUAUAGUAUAUAAAGAAAGAAAUAUCUAGUUUCUACGUAGUUAAAUAAAAUUCUCUAUUUUCCCCA